UGAGGGAAAGUUGAAAAGCACUUUGAAAAGAGAGUUAAAAGCACGUGAAGCCGUUGAAAGGGAAACGCGCUCGGCUAGCAAUGUGCCUUGGCGGUUCAGCCGGUUUGGGCGGGAAGGCCGUCGUCGUCGGAUCCGAAUGGACCGCGGCGGUGGUCGUUCUUGUUCGAACUGCGGUGCACUCUGCCAGGGCACGCGUCAGCGUCGGUUCGCAGUUCAGGCGACAAGGCCGGGAGGAAGGUGGCUCGGGGCUCGCCCUGAGCGUUACAGCCUCCCGUGCUGGGUCUGGUGCGGACCGAGGAGAGAGAGGAUCGCUGCAGCGCAUGCCGCAAGGCUAGCUGCCCGUUGCUCGGCUUGCUUCACAGGCUGUGGACUGCACGCAGUGUUCGGCUUGGCGAGGUGGUCGGGUGGUGGAGCGGUAUAAAUGCGCUUAGGACGCUGGCGUCCAAAUGGCCGUGCGCGACCCGUCUUGAAACACGGACCAAGGAGUCUAACAUGUGCGCGAGUCUUUGGGUGUAGAAACCCGUGGGCGCAAUGAAAGUGAAGGUCCUGCUUGCGGGGCUGAGGUGAGAGCCGGUGCUGCGGCGUCGGUGCAUCAUCGACCGGUCGUAUC
rnacentral:rRNA from 1 species